rnacentral:rRNA from 1 species
AAUAUUGCACAAUGGGGGAAACCCUGAUGCAGCGACGCCGCGUGAGUGAAGUAGUAUUNCGGUAUNUNAAGCUCUAUCAGCAGGGNAAAAAAUGACGGUACCUGACUAAGAAGCCCCGUCUAACUACGUGCCAGCAGCCGCGGUAAUACGUAGGGGGCAAGCGUUAUCCGGAUUUACUGGGUGUAAAGGGAGCGUAGGUGGCGAGUCAAGUCAGAUGUGAAAGCCCGGGGCUCAACCCCGGGAUUGCAUUUGAAACUGGUUUGCUAGAGUGCAGGAGAGGGAAGUGGAAUUCCUAGUGUAGCGGUGAAAUGCGUAGAUAUUAGGAGGAACACCAGUGGCGAAGGCGGCUUACUGGACUGUAACUGACACUGAGGCUCGAAAGCGUGGGGAGCAAACA